GUUUACAGAUGUAGCUGCCUGACUGAUCUCAAAAAGUUAAGCAGGGUAGGACCUAGUUAGUAUUUGGAGGGGUAAUCACCAAAAAGUCCCCAGGCUGUAGGCU
rnacentral:rRNA from 1 species